UACGAAGGGGGCUAGCGUUGCUCGGAAUCACUGGGCGUAAAGCGCACGUAGGCGGCUUCUCAAGUCAGGGGUGAAAUCCUGGAGCUCAACUCCAGAACUGCCUUUGAUACUGAGGGGCUCGAGUCCGGGAGAGGUGAGUGGAACUGCGAGUGUAGAGGUGAAAUUCGUAGAUAUUCGCAAGAACACCAGUGGCGAAGGCGGCUCACUGGCCCGGUACUGACGCUGAGGUGCGAAAGCGUGGGGAGCAA
rnacentral:rRNA from 1 species